CGGGAAAUAGCUCAGCUUGGUAGAGCACUUGGUUUGGGACCAAGGGGUCGCAGGUUCGAAUCCUGUCUUCCCGA
rnacentral:tRNA from 1 species